ACGAGUGACCAAACACUCAUCCAAAAGCCAAUUCAAGAACACACUUUAUGAAUGCCGCCAUUGCCAUUGUCAUCAUCACCGGCCUCGCAACCAUGAAUGGCACAAUGAAGCCACCAUUGACCGGAUUGAGAAGUGCAAAUCGGGGAUCCGUAAAGCUUAAAAUCCCAAAAUCUACUUUUACUGAUCUAAUUUCCGAAUCUCAGACACACUCUUUGACUCCCCAGCAACCCUAAAUCCCUAAUUGUCUCUCCGCACUGUUGAUGAUCCAAAGAAAGUUGAGCACUUGCGUUCUCUAUAUGGAGCUAAGGAUCUGCUUCACUUGUUUACUACAAAGCUAUUGGAGGAGGGAUAUUUUGAUACUGUUGUGGAGGGGUGUGAAGGUGUUUUUCGCAUUGCUUCUCCCUUCUACCAUGAUGUUAAAGACCUAGAGGUUGAAUAGCUUGAUCCUGCUUUGAAGGGAACACUUAAUGUUCUCAAUGCCUGUGCAAAAGUCCCAUUAAUAAAAGGAGUGGUGCUGACAUCUUCAAUUGCAGCAGUUGUAAUGGAAAACCUCGAACUCCGGAAGUGGUUGUUGAUGAAACCAGGUUUUCUGAUCCAAAUCUCUGUAGGGAAACAAAGCUCUAGCUGGAACUUGGAAGUAGUUAAAGAAAACUGACAUGAGGCUCGGUGAAGGUUAUAUCAGGGCAAGAGAGCAAACCAGAAAGAUCAUGCUCCAUGUAUUCGAACACAAGGUCCUGAGUUCAUGACUAGUUGAUGCAAUCAGAUGAUUUUGAUGGAUCAUUUCUUCAUGGGACAGUGAAAGUACAGCUGAUGGGCCAUAUGAUGGUUAUAAUCACAAAGAUGUAGAGGAGGACAUAGCUGUAACUGCUGCUGUAGUUGUUGCUGUCACUGUUGUUACCGCUGCUGCCUGCUUCUGUUACUGCUGUUGUCGGCUGUUACUGCUCUCUGUUUACUUGCUACUGUUCGUUGCUUCCUGUUUGCUAGGGCACUGAGUGUUAUUUUUUUUUUUAAUUUUUUUUUUCUGUUUUGAAAUUUGGUGGUCUAAAGACCGGAGUUGACCGUAGUUGAUUUUCUUUUUGUUUUCAUUAUUAGAUUGUUUAGCAAACAAAAAAUAUUCGUGUUUGUGGAUAUUUUUUUUAAGAAACUAUGAAAUCAUAUCAAUUCAAAUUAUUGUGUAUCGUAUAUGUUUCA